GAAAAGAACUUUGAAGAGAGAGUUCAAGAGUACGUGAAACCGUUCAGGGGUAAACCUGAGAAACCCAAAAGAUCGAAUGGGGAGAUUCAUCGUCAGCGAUCCCGGUACGUGUGCGGUUCGUGAUGCCGGAGGCUUCGGUCUCUCGGCACGCGUCCGCAUUGGUAUAUUGCUGGGUGUCGUCGGCGUGCACUUCUCCCCUAGUAGGACGUCGCGACCCGUUGGGUGUUGGUCUACGGCCCGGGCGGUUGCCUGUCGAAGUGCAUUCACGUGCGUCUUCGGCAGACCCCCGGUCGCCCGACCGACUGCCCGGCGGUACUCGCACGGUGUCGGGCCGCAAAUAUUCGAACUGCGUCCGGCCCGCCGCAAGCGCGGCCAGUGCUCCCGGAUGUCACGGACCUAGUGCCGUCACCGGGCCUGGCCAGCUGCUGGCUGGCGGUGCUCUCGGACUGGCUCUUGAAAUUAUGACACCGGUCGGCGACGCUACUGCUUUGGGUACUUUCAGGACCCGUCUUGAAACACGGACCAAGGAGUCUAACAUGUGCGCGAGUCAUUGGGAUCUAUUAAGCCUAAAGGCGCAAUGAAAGUGAAGGUCGGCCUAGCGCCGACCGAGGGAGGAUGGGCCGCGUCACGAUGCGGUCCCGCACUCCCGGGGCGUCUCGUUCUCAUUGCGAGAA
rnacentral:rRNA from 1 species